rnacentral:rRNA from 1 species
AUGGGACGAACUACCCCUAACCCUAUAUGGUGUAAGAUAUGGAAGUUAGCUUGCCCGGCAAAAGUCAAAAAAAUUAUAUGGCGUACUUUACAUGGCACCCUCCCAUGUCAAGUAACACUUGCUAAUAGACACAUGAAGGUCUCGCCCAUAUGCCCUACCUGCUCUCAGGGUCUAGAAGAUACGAAACAUAUGUUGUUCCUAUGUAUAAAAGCAAGGGAGGUUUGGAAGAGGCUUGGGAUGGACGAGAUUAUUAACAAAGCCUGCAAGGUUGAUCGUGCUAGAGAGGCGAUAUUGGGAUAUCUUUUACUUCUCCCAGAUCAAGAGUUGAGUAUCAUGGGUUCCCAAAAUGUACGAGAAAUGAUAGCUAUAUCAGCUUGGUAUCUAUGGUGGGAAAGACGGAAAUUGGUUCAUAGGGAAGUAACUCAUAAUGCAACUCAGAUAUCAAUGGGAAUCAUGGCCCUUACAUCAAAUUUGUGA